CAUGGCUCAGAACGAACGCUGGCGGCGUGCUUAACACAUGCAAGUCGAACGCGAAAGAGUUCUUCGGAACUUGAGUAGAGUGGCGCACGGGUGAGUAACGCGUAAGUGAUCUACCCCUGUAUCUGGAAUAACUAUGGGAAACUGUAGCUAAUACCGGAUACGUUCAUGUGAUUGCGAUCAUGUGAAGAAAGAUGGCCUCUGACUUAAGCUAUCGUACAGGGAGGAGCUUGCGUACCAUUAGCUAGUUGGCAGGGUAAUGGCCUACCAAGGCGACGAUGGUUAGCGGGUCUGAGAGGAUGAUCCGCCACACUGGAACUGAAACACGGACCAGACUCCUACGGGAGGCAGCAGUGAGGAAUAUUGCGCAAUGGGGGCAACCCUGACGCAGCGACGCCGCGUGGAUGAUGAAGGCCUUCGGGUCGUAAAAUCCUGUCGGAUGGGAAGAAGUGUAAUGUGGUUAAUACCCA
rnacentral:rRNA from 1 species